AUUGAACGCUGGCGGCAGGCCUAACACAUGCAAGUCGAGCGGAUGAGUGGAGCUUGCUCCAUGAUUCAGCGGCGGACGGGUGAGUAAUGCCUAGGAAUCUGCCUGGUAGUGGGGGACAACGUUUCGAAAGGAACGCUAAUACCGCAUACGUCCUACGGGAGAAAGUGGGGGAUCUUCGGACCUCACGCUAUCAGAUGAGCCUAGGUCGGAUUAGCUAGUUGGUGAGGUAAAGGCUCACCAAGGCGACGAUCCGUAACUGGUCUGAGAGGAUGAUCAGUCACACUGGAACUGAGACACGGUCCAGACUCCGACGGGAGGCAGCAGUGGGGAAUAUUGGACAAUGGGCGAAAGCCUGAUCCAGCCAUGCCGCGUGUGUUAAGAAGGUCUUCGGAUUGUAAAGCACUUUAAGUUGGGAGGAAGGGCAGUAAGUUAAUACCUUGCUGUUUUGACGUUACCAACAGAAUAAGCACCGGCUAACUUCGUGCCAGCCGCCGCGGUAAAAC
rnacentral:rRNA from 1 species